AAACUAACUAGGAUUCCCUUAGUAACGGCGAGUGAACCGGGAAAAGCUCAAAUUUGUAAUCUGGCUGUCUUCGAUAGUCCGAGUUGUAAUCUAUAGACGUGUUUUCCGUGCUGGACCGUAUCUAAGUCCCUUGGAACAGGGUAUCAAAGAGGGUGACAAUCCCGUGCUUGAUACGACCACCAGUGCUCUGUGAUACACGCUCUACGAGUCGAGUUGUUUGGGAAUGCAGCUCAAAAUGGGUGGUAAAUUCCAUCUAAAGCUAAAUAUUGGCGAGAGACCGAUAGCGAACAAGUACCGUGAGGGAAAGAUGAAAAGCACUUUGGAAAGAGAGUUAAACAGUACGUGAAAUUGUUGAAAGGGAAACGAUUGAAGUCAGUCGUGUUCUUUGGAUUCAGCUAGUUCUUCUAGUCUACUUCCAUUGAACGGGUCAACAUCAGUUUUGUCCGGUGGAUAAAGAUAGUAGGAAUGUAGCUCCCCCGGGAGUGUUAUAGACUAUUAUUGCAUACACUGGGUGAGACUGAGGACUGCAGCUCGCCUUUUGGCCGGUCUUCGGACACGUUCGAGCUUAGGAUGUUGACAUAAUGGCUUUAAACGACCC
rnacentral:rRNA from 1 species